ACACCGGACUCCCUGGUCCAUAAAGACCUUUCCAAUACAGAGGAGGACUUCUCCGGCCAGUCCAGCCGCGUGUCCCCAAGCCCCACCACCUACCUCAUGUUCCGGGACAAGAGCUGCUCUCUCUGGCAGAACUCGCAGCAGUCCUCCGACAGCUCUGCCCCUACCACGCCGCAGUGCCAUAAGCGUCACCGGCACUGCCCAGUCGUCGUGUCAGAGGCCACCAUCGUGGGCAUCUGCAAGACCAGGCAGAUCUGGCCCAACGAUGCGGAGGGCACCUUCCAUGGAGACGCAGGUAAGUUCCUCACACCUCACAGCCUGGCCUCUCACCAGCCUCAGGGC
rnacentral:lncRNA from 1 species